rnacentral:rRNA from 1 species
CAAAGGUAGCGUAAUCACUUGUCUUAUAAAUAAAGACCCGUAUGAAUGGCUAAAUGAGUAUUUAACUGUCUCCUUUAACUAAUCAGUGAAACUGAUCUCUCAGUACAAAAGCUGAGAUAAGUUCAUAAGACGAGAAGACCCCGUGGAGCUUUAAAUUAUUAACAAAAUAUAAUAAAACAUGUUUAUGAUAAAAAAUUUUUAGUUGGGGCGACUUUGGAGUAAAACUGAACCUCCAAGAAAAGGCACUGCCUAACCAAGGCUAACAGGCCAAACUAACCGACCCAGUAUUAUUUACUGAUCAACGAACCAAGUUACCCCAGGGAUAACAGCGCCAUCUUCUUCAAGAGUUCAUAUCGACAAGAAGGUUUACGACCUCGAUGUUGGAUCAGGACACCCUAAUGGUGCAGCCGCUAUUAAAGGUUCGUUUGUUCAACGAUUAAUGU